rnacentral:rRNA from 1 species
UGAGGAAUAUUGGUCAAUGGUCGGGAGACUGAACCAGCCAAGCCGCGUGAGGGAUGAAGGUACAGAGUAUCGUAAACCUCUUUUGUCGGGGAACAAAAGGCGCCACGCGUGGCGCUCCGAGUGUACCUGAAGAAAAGCAUCGGCUAACUCCGUGCCAGCAGCCGCGGUAAUACGGAGGAUGCGAGCGUUAUCCGGAUUUAUUGGGUUUAAAGGGUGCGUAGGCGGCGAGUUAAGUCAGCGGUAAAAGCCCGGGGCUCAACCCCGGCCCGCCGUUGAAACUGGCUUGCUUGAGUUGGAGAGAAGUAGGCGGAAUGCGCGGUGUAGCGGUGAAAUGCUUAGAUAUCGCGCAGAACUCCGAUUGCGAAGGCAGCCUACCGGCUCCAGACUGACGCUGAGGCACGAAAGCGUGGGUAUCGAACAGGAUUAGAUACC